rnacentral:rRNA from 1 species
UACGUAGGGUGCAAGCGUUGUCCGGAAUUAUUGGGCGUAAGAGCUCGUAGGCGGUCUGUCGCGUCAGCUGUGAAAACUCGGGGCUCAACUCCGAGCUUGCAGUCGAUACGGGCAGGCUAGAGUUCGGCAGGGGAGAUUGGAAUUCCUGGUGUAGCGGUGAAAUGCGCAGAUAUCAGGAGGAACACCCGUGGCGAAAGCGGCUCUCUGGGACGGUACUGACGCUGAGGCACGAAAGCUAGGGGAGCAAACAGG